UUUUUUUUUUUUUUUUUUUUUUUUUUUUUUUUUUUUUUUUUCAUGCA
rnacentral:ribozyme from 1 species